UACGUAGGGGGCGAGCGUUGUCCGGAUUUAUUGGGCGUAAAGAGCUCGUAGGCGGUUUGGUAAGUCAGGUGUGAAAUCUCCACGCUCAACGUGGAGGGGCCACCUGAUACUGCCAUGACUGGAGUCCGGUAGAGGAGUGUGGAAUUCCCGGUGUAGCGGUGAAAUGCGCAGAUAUCGGGAGGAACACCCGUAGCGAAGGCGGCACUCUGGGCCGGUACUGACGCUGAGGAGCGAAAGCGUGGGGAGCGAACAGG
rnacentral:rRNA from 1 species